rnacentral:rRNA from 1 species
ACGAACGCUGGCGGCAUGCCUAACACAUGCAAGUCGAACGCGACCUUCGGGUCUAGUGGCGCACGGGUGCGUAACGCGUGGGAACCUGCCCUUGGUUCGGAAUAACUCCCCGAAAGGGGUGCUAAUACCGGAUAAUGUCUUCGGACCAAAGAUUUAUCGCCUUUGGAUGGGCCCGCGUUGGAUUAGCUAGUUGGUAGGGUAAAAGCCUACCAAGGCGACGAUCCAUAGCUGGUCUGAGAGGAUGAUCAGCCACACUGGGACUGAGACACGGCCCAGACUCCUACGGGAGGCAGCAGUGGGGAAUAUUGGACAAUGGGCGAAAGCCUGAUCCAGCAAUGCCGCGUGAGUGAUGAAGGCCUUAGGGUUGUAAAGCUCUUUUACCCGGGAUGAUAAUGACAGUACCGGGAGAAUAAGCUCCGGCUAACUCCGUG